rnacentral:lncRNA from 1 species
UGCCGGUGCCAGCUGGCCCGCUGCACAUCGUGGCUCAUCUCAGCAUCUUGAAGCUGCUUCUGGAGGUCGGAGACCUUUUGUGACCAUAUCUGCUCAUCCUGCGCUGUGAGCCAGGAUGAGUUCCCUUCCAGCUGGCCGAUCCUCCUCUUCGCAGCUGACAGCUCCACCUUAAGGGCGCUGAUCCUGGCUUCUUGAGCCCAAGUUCGGUCGCUGGCACUCUUCUUACAUUCAUCGAGCUCCUUUGCGAAGUUUGCCUUCCUCCGGCUGUAGUCCAUGAUUGCCUUCACUUGGAGACUCCUGAAGUGGGCGGCCUCAGCGGCGGCCUCGGAAUAGCAUUUCUUCGCCUGGCGGAGCUCGCCCUCCGACUUCUUCAACUUCUUCGUCAGGUGGAGGACCUCCUUUUUUAGCCGUUGGAUAGUUGACUUCAGCGGGACCCCCAGGGGCAAGGGGAGUGCUUCGACAGGACACUGCCAUCGGAAGAAGCAAACGUCAAAGACCAACUCAUUACAAGGAGAAAGGCAGAAAAGAAGGAGCAGGGGGAAGGAAAGGCCAUCCACAAUAAGAAGUUCGACUUUAUUGAUUAAUUUUUGAAGACAAGCGGAAAGGAAAUAUGGCGAUAAAAGAAAGAUACAAGAUCGGAGGUCUCAGACCUC